AGUGAACGCUGGCGGUAGGCCUAACACAUGCAAGUCGAACGGCAGCACAGUAAGAGCUUGCUCUUACGGGUGGCGAGUGGCGGACGGGUGAGGAAUACAUCGGAAUCUACUUUUUCGUGGGGGAUAACGUAGGGAAACUUACGCUAAUACCGCAUACGACCUACGGGUGAAAGCAGGGGAUCUUCGGACCUUGCGCGAUUGAAUGAGCCGAUGUCGGAUUAGCUAGUUGGCGGGGUAAAGGCCCACCAAGGCGACGAUCCGUAGCUGGUCUGAGAGGAUGGUCAGCCACACUGGAACUGAGACACGGCCCAGACUCCUACGGGAGGCAGCAGUGGGGAAUAUUGGACGAUGGGCGCAAGCCUGAUCCAGCCAUACCGCGUGGGUGAAGAAGGCCUUCGGGUUGUAAAGCCCUGUUGUUGGGAAAGAAAAGCAGCAGGUUAAUACCCCGCUGUUCUGACGGUACCCAAAGAAUAAGCACCGGCUAACUUCGUG
rnacentral:rRNA from 1 species